UAGGGAGACCUACCCAUUGAAGAAUCGAAAGCGGAAAGCGAAUAGAGAAUCAAAUGGUCUACUCUAGGUCGGUGACGUGAGAUUGUGAAGUCUUUCAAACUAAUAUUUGGUUCGCGAGAGGGCUAUUAGCUCAGGUGGUUAGAGCGCACCCCUGAUAAGGGUGAGGUCCCUGGUUCGAGUCCAGGAUGGCCCACCUAAUGGGGGUUUAGCUCAGUUGGUAGAGCGCCUGCUUUGCAAGCAGGAUGUCAGCGGUUCGAGUCCGCUAACCUCCACAUUGGGUAUCUUCAGCAACUAGGAAAGACCUAGACUGCUGGUGAUGAACCAGCCAGAACCUUGAAAACUGCAUAUAGAAAGAUAAGAGUAAGAGUAAGU
rnacentral:tRNA from 1 species